CCGGUGUGUUUGGCUGCGGCAUCAUUGGAUGAAUAAUUGAUUGAUGCUGCUGCUGGAUGGGAGAUAAUGUGCAGAAGUUGCUCCAGUCGACGUCCAUAGGAGACGGUGUUCGUUCUGGAGAUGCUCGAGGCCGAAUUCUGAGUUCUCUAAUCUUAGAAAAGAACUCUCUGCACUUGUACUGGGGCCGCCGAUUGGCAAUAAUCGGUCGGGUGAAUAGGCUUCGAAGAAAGACUGAUCUGUCAGUUUUGACGUUUCCACAAGAAUAUGUAAUUGGUGUACGUAUUUUUUAUUAUUUGAGAAAAAAAUAAACCUCUUCAGGCAAGCAUGACGUGGCAAUAAAAUUAGCGACAAACAUGCAUUAAGAAUAGAUGAGAAAAUUCUCAAUGAUAAAGCGUGAUUUGUCGCAUACACAUGCAAUUUUACAUAUUUUCACCUCAAGCUGAAUUCUGAAAAAAAGUUAUUUUUUUACACUACGUAAACAAAUCUAGUCUAAUUGAAUCGUGAAAAAUUUGUACAUCAACAUUGUUGUAUCAUACUUGAGUCUGCGACACUUGUCAGAGUAAAUUUUUAUCUGAAACUAAUUGCACGGGAGCCGAGAAUAAAUAGACAUACUUCUUUUUGCAUCACGAAAUGGCUAAACGUAUAUAGAUGUAUUACCAUAUUUAAUUUGUACAACAUAUAAAUAUAUUUAUCUGUCAUUGCGAA